CACCCCUGGCUGAUCUCACCUCACACCCAGCACCCCUAUCUCAUCUCAUGGCUCCCUGGGCGUGGGCUGCAGCCCCAGGAGAACACUGGCUGCUCAUCACUUCUGUCUUCACACCACUCCCAGGGCCCAGCACCAGGCCUGCCUGCUGGGUUUCCACUGCCUCCCUCUAGCCUCAUUAUCACCCGAAGCAUGUCUAAACAGAGCUGCUGGACGGCUGGUUCAUCGCCCAGGAAAUCCCAGCUAAGUUAACUGAGGCAGACAGAAGCAGUGGGUCAGACAGCUGGUGUCCGAAGCCAGACUCAUUUGAACUCUGAUCUUCCUGAGGUCAAGCGCUGCGCUCUAUCCACUGAGCCACCUAGCCUGGAACAUAUGGCUGGCUUUAGGAGUCGGGAAUGGCUGAUAACCUCUGCCACAGAUUCAAAGAGCUAUCUGCUUGGGCUUCUCCGCCCUGCCCCCAAACUGGGCAGAGAACAGGUGGUCUUGACGCCCUGAGUUGGCACAAAGAGCCUUCACAGCCCUGAGCCCAGGGGAGGGUCCCAGCAUGACCAGAAAACCAGCAAAGCAGCCAGCAUCCUACCUAUGGCCAGAAAACAUCGAUGGCCCUGCGGGUCAAAGGGGUGGGCAGCUCUGGCCCUGGAGGACUGUCUUUCACACACGGCCCCAACCCUGAACAUCCCAGGCAUGUGCUACUCCAUGCACAUUUCUGAGGCAUAGAUAUUCUCCCCACUGAUGCUGAGUGUUUGUGGUACAGCAGGGCCCAGGUGACCCAGGGAGAAUGCUCUCCUGCUGACUGUCUGAGCAUGCUAUCUCAUUGAAUGCCUUUGUUGGGAACUCACCAUUUCCUCUGGCUGACACACUGAAGGGGACUCAGGAGCUACGGUUUUGAGUGGAUUCAGACCCACACAGUGUCUUGAGUGCACAUUAGCUUUUCUGGUGGCCUCACAUACAAGAUGGGGGUGCCCCAGAUUCGUCCAGCACAAUAAAUGCCAGUUGACAUGAGCAGCCUUAGCAAGAUGUGGCUAAAGAGAAACCCAGCGACCUC